AUUGAACGCUGGCGGCAGGCUUAACACAUGCAAGUCGAGCGGAGAUGAGGUGCUUGCACCUUAUCUUAGCGGCGGACGGGUGAGUAAUGCUUAGGAAUCUGCCUAUUAGUGGGGGACAACAUUCCGAAAGGAAUGCUAAUACCGCAUACGUCCUACGGGAGAAAGCAGGGGAUCUUCGGACCUUGCGCUAAUAGAUGAGCCUAAGUCAGAUUAGCUAGUUGGUGGGGUAAAGGCCUACCAAGGCGACGAUCUGUAGCGGGUCUGAGAGGAUGGUCCGCCACACUGGGACUGAGACACGGCCCAGACUCCUACGGGAGGCAGCAGUGGGGAAUAUUGGACAAUGGGCGAAAGCCUGAUCCAGCCAUGCCGCGUGUGUGAAGAAGGCCUUUUGGUUGUAAGGCACUUUAAGCGAGGAGGAGGCUACCGAGAUUAAUACUCUUGGAUAGUGGACGUUACUCGCAGAAUAAGCACCGGCUAACUCUGUGCCAGCAGCCGCAGUAAUAC
rnacentral:rRNA from 1 species